GGGGAUGCGGGGCCCGGUCGGGGAGGCAGGACCGGCUCGGCCAGUGCUGCCGCCCGGGCCUCUGGGUCCGGAACGAAGGGCACCGCCGGCGAGAUCGCGCCCCCCUGGCUCGCCCUGUGAUUCAGUGAGCAGGGACCCACGGUUGGUGUAGACCAUGCCGAGGGCGGGCAUUCCCGACGCAAGGUCUUCUUGAGUUUCCGUUUUGUGCCGGUUGGUCUUAUUUGCCACCCUGCGCAAUUCUAGAGGGGUUUUGCUGCUGAGGAAUCACCCUCUGAGAGAAUAAAGGAUAUGGUGAAAAAUGCCACAAGAUCUUGUGUGGAUAAGAGAGGAAGCAAGAAUGUUGGGGGCCGUGCAAAUAAUGACUGGUCUGUUUGUUCACUCCCUGGGACUGCUCUGGACAUAUUUGUUAAUCUCACAAAUUAUAGCAUUUCAAAGAGUAUAUAUUCCUGUUGCAGUGCUGUCAGGAUUCCCGUUUUGGGCAGCUGGUUUUUUUUUGCUGUCAGGAAUCUUUACAGUAUUGCUUGAGAGGAAGCGUUCAAGGUCUUUGAUGACCUAUUCUAUAGUACUGAACAUCUUGAGUGCCUGCAGUGCAGUGAUCGGUCUGCUUUUACUAUGUCUUGAAUUUUUAAUCUUUGCUUUAGCUAAAAGUGCUGCUUGGCCACACAGAGCUGGUAAAAUCCUUUCAAACUAUUUGUUCCUAUUCACCACUUUGGAGUUGUGUGUGGCAUCGACAUUGAUCCAUUGGUUGUAUAAAGCAAAACAUAGCAGAUGAUAAAGAUGUGGUACACGGCAGAAGAGGAUCCUUUAUCUACACAUUAAAGAACCAUCGUGACCUCAGUCAAGGAGGCAAGUUUAGUGGCGAAUGAAGAACUUCAUUUUAUUCAAGAGGCUUGUGGGGAAAUACAUUUUAAUUAAAUUCAUCUCAGUAUUUCCUUUCCCCCAUUAAUAAAAGCUUAAAUUG